CGGGAGGCAGCAGUGGGGAAUAUUGGACAAUGGGCGAAAGCCUGAUCCAGCCAUGCCGCGUGUGUGAAGAAGGCCUUCGGGUUGUAAAGCACUUUCAGUCGUGAGGAAAGGGAUACGGUUAAUACCCGUGUUCUGUGACGUUAGCGACAGAAGAAGCACCGGCUAACUCCGUGCCAGCAGCCGCGGUAAUACGGAGGGUGCAAGCGUUAAUCGGAAAA
rnacentral:rRNA from 1 species